rnacentral:tRNA from 1 species
ACGGGUGUAGCUCAACGGUAGAGCAACAGCCUCCAAAACUGUUGGUUGCGGGUUCGAAUCCUGCUGCCCGUGC